GGCUGCUGUUUAACAGGCUCUUAACCAAUGGUGCUGGAGGAGAUGGCUGCUGUUUAACAGGCUCUUAACCAAUGGUGCUGGAGGAGAUGGCUGCUGUUUAACAGGCUCUUAACAAAUGGUGCUAUUGUGUGUUUGUGUUAUUUGUAAGUUGUUUUGUCCAUAAUGUUUCUGCCACCGUCUCUUAUGACUGAAAACAGCUUCUGGAUAUCAGGACAGUGAUUACUCACCUCGUACUGGACAAAGAUCUUUUUUAACGAGUUGGACUUGAAGGAUUUACUUCAGACACCUGACAAGGCCCUCAUCCUCGUCAUACGCAGGAGAAAGAGACAGAGAUAUCGGGGACGUAGGUCGGGAUGCCUUGUAAGGAAUUGAUGGCGAGUGGGUAAUCUGCCUCUACCUAUUAGCCUGUAAGGACAGACGCUGGGAGACGAGAAGCAAGUACAGGGAGUGAACAUUUAAUAAAUAACGGACAUGAAACAAAACACGGACAGCGUCUGGACGGGAAACAAAACGACAUUAAUGCUGACUCGGGAAAUAAACUGAGGAAGUGACAGAUAUCGGGGAGGUGAUUAGUAACGUGAUGGAGAGAAACUGAGGAAGUGACAGAUAUCGGGGAGGUGAUUAGUAACGUGAUGGAGAGAAACUGAGGAAGUGACAGAUAUCGGGGAGGUGAUUAGUAACGUGAUGGAGAGAAACUGAGGAAGUGACAGAUAUCGGGGAGGUGAUUAGUAACGUGAUGGAAAGAAACUGAGGAAGUGACAGAUAUCGGGGAGGUAAUUAGUAACGUGAUGGAGUCCAGGUGAGUCCAGGUGAGUCCAGGUGAGUCCAGGUGAGUCCGAUGACGCGUUGAUGUGUGUAACGAUGGUGGGAGGUGUGAGUAAUGAUCAGCAGCCUGGCGACCUCGAGCGACCUCGAGGGCGAGCAGACGUGACAUAGCCUGGAUAACAAAAUAGAUGAGCUACGAUCACAAAUAUCCUACCAACGGGAUAUUAACUGUAACAUCUUAUGUUUCACCGAGUCGUGGCUGACAUGGAUAACAUACAGCUGGGUGUACGCUGCAUCGGCAAGAUAGAACAGCUGCCUCCGGUAAGACAAGGGUUGACGGUCUGUGUCUAUUUGGAAACAACAGCUGGUGCACGAAAUCUAAUAUUAAGGAAGUCUCAAGGUUUUGCUCGCCUGAGGUAGAGUAUCUCAUGAUAAGCUGUAGACCACACUAUUUACCAAGAGAGUUUUAAUCUAUAUUUUUCAUAGCUGUCUACCACCACAAACUGAUGCUGCCAUUAAGACCGCAAACAAUGAGCUGUAUAAGGC
rnacentral:lncRNA from 1 species